rnacentral:rRNA from 1 species
CGGCGGACGGGUGAGUAAUGCCUAGGAAUCUGCCUGGUAGUGGGGGAUAACGUCCGGAAACGGGCGCUAAUACCGCAUACGUCCUGAGGGAGAAAGUGGGGGAUCUUCGGACCUCACGCUAUCAGAUGAGCCUAGGUCGGAUUAGCUAGUUGGUGGGGUAAAGGCCUACCAAGGCGACGAUCCGUAACUGGUCUGAGAGGAUGAUCAGUCACACUGGAACUGAGGCACGGUCCAG